rnacentral:rRNA from 1 species
AAUAAUAGUAAAUACACAUGAAUAUACCCAAUCUUGUCUGAUCUUGGAAGCUAAGGAGGGUUGGGCCUGGUUGGUACUUGGAUAGAAGACCAUGUUGGAAUACCAGGUGCUGUAGGCU